rnacentral:rRNA from 1 species
GAGUUUGAUCCUGGCUCAGAUUGAACGCUGGCGGCACGCCUUACACAUGCAAGUCGAACGGCAGCACGGGAGCUUGCUCCUGGUGGCGAGUGGCGAACGGGUGAGUAAUGCAUCGGAACGUAUCCUGGAGUGGGGGAUAACGUAGCGAAAGUUACGCUAAUACCGCAUAUUCUGUGAGCAGGAAAGCGGGGACCUUCGGGCCUCGCGCUCUUGGAGCGGCCGAUGUCGGAUUAGCUAGUUGGUGAGGUAAAGGCUCACCAAGGCGACGAUCCGUAGCAGGUCUGAGAGGAUGAUCUGCCACACUGGAACUGAGACACGGUCCAGACUCCGUACGGGA